CACGUAGGGUGCGAGCGUUGUCCGGAAUUAUUGGGCGUAAAGAGCUCGUAGGCGGUGUGUCGCGUCGGCCGUGAAAACCUGCAGCUUAACUGUGGGCUUGCGGUCGAUACGGGCAUCACUGGAGUUCGGCAGGGGAGACUGGAAUUCCUGGUGUAGCGGUGAAAUGCGCAGAUAUCAGGGAGGAACACCCGGUGGCGAAAGGCGAGUCCCUGGACAACUCCUGACACUGGAGGCAACGAAAGCCUAGGGGGAGCAAACAGGAU
rnacentral:rRNA from 1 species